rnacentral:rRNA from 1 species
AACGAACGCUGGCGGCAUGCCUAACACAUGCAAGUCGUACGAGACCUCCGGGUCGAGUGGAGCACGGGUGCGUAAGGCGUGGGAACCUGCCCUUAACCUCGGCACAACUUCUCGAAAACGCUACUAAUCCCGGACCAAGACUUCGGAUUAACGACUUCUCCCUUUUGGAUGGCCCCGAGCUCGAUCAGCUAGGUGGUAGGGUUAAAGCCUGCCCACGCGACGUCCCGUAGCUGGCGGGGGAGGAUGAUCAGCCACACUGGGACUGAGACACGGCCCAGACUCCUGCGGGAAGCAGCAAUAGGGAAUAUUGGACAAUGGGCGAAAGCCUGAUCCAGCAAUGCCGCGUGAGUGAUGAAGGCCUUAGGGUUGUAAAGCUCUUUUGCCCGGGAUUAUAAUGACAGUACCGGGAGAAUAAGCUCCGGCUAACUCCGUG